CGAAACCGCGAGGUAGAGCAAAUCCCCAAAAACGGUCUCAGUUCGGAUUGCAGGCUGCAACUCGCCUGUAUGAAGUCGGAAUUGCUAGUAAUCGCGGAUCAGCAUGCCGCGGUGAAUACGUUCCCGGGCCUUGUACACACCGCCCGUCACACCAUGAGAGUUGGAGAUACCCGAAGCCUGUGAGCUAACUUUUAGAGGCAGCAGUCGAAGGUAGAAUCAAUGAUUGGGGUGAAGUCGUAACAAGGUAAC
rnacentral:rRNA from 1 species